AAAUCUUUUAAGCCUAGUUACUCCAUGAUUGGACAAUGUUUGUCAAAUAAAAACAAAAGUACUGCAGUGUCGUUUUCUCAAAAAAAUUUGAAACUAAACGAGGCCAUAAUAGGAAAAAUACAAGUGCUCAGUGGCCGGUGGAACAAACAACAACACACACCGCACAUCACAGGUCACCACUACUGGCUGCUGCAACAACACCCCCUCUGCCAACUGUCAACACGGGCCUCAAACACCAAAGAGCCCACACAGUGUCAACCACUAACUCGACACUAGUCAAAGCCACCUUCAAGCCAUUGGUAGGUAAAAUAUUUCUUUUAAAGAUAUAGCUAAAAUAUCCAUGAUAAGAUUUGCAUGUUGUGCUAAUACCCGUAGGGGCGGUAACCUUAGCUGCAGAGACUAUGGGCAUGUACCAUACUUGGUUCCCUCACCAAUCAGUGUAUACUACCUUGCCUAAACUUGGUUGGCAAGAUCAGGCAUUUAGUAGCACCUGCAAAUUAAAACUCACCUUGCCCAGCAAUCUCGCUUUGCGGGCCAGGCAAGGAUUUGGCUCUCCUCAGCUGGCAAGCUUUGUUGUUCAAUGCUUUCACCUCUCAUCUGAGUUGUGUUGCUCCAUGCUUCAAUCCAAAGUCUAGCAACCUCCAUGUUAGUGCCCAAAUCAAGCUCGCCACUGCAUAAAUCGAGCUCUUCCACACCAUAUCAAACCUCUCUUGCUUGAAUUAGCCUCACCUCACGGCAAGCAUCGAGCUUUAACUUUUCCCACUAGAUCAAGUUUGUCCCACCCUAAUCACGCAUGUCACAAUGUGAAUCUAGCCACCAUCACACAAAUCGAGUUUGUUGAAGAUUGAAUCUAGCUUCAUGCCACCAGAUCCCUGCAUGAAUCUAGCUCUCUUCAAAGUUCCACCAAGCUUCUCUCUGAUGGAAGGCCAUGCAACUUGGGAGGAGGUGGAAAGGUAAGUAAGAAAAGAAAACUAAUAAGCAAACAAGUUAACCAAAAAAAAGGAAGGGAUUAUGUCCUUGCUUGUCUAGGAAUGGCAAAGCAAUCUCAGUGAGGCUAGGUUCGUCGUGCAAUGCAACCAAGCACAACAUAUGUUGCUGUCCAGCAAGCAGGCUAGAAGAGGACAACACACAGUGUGUGUCAAAGGUCCUAACUACAUAUGUCAAAUAACUCUCACCACAGAUGCAAUACUCAUCUACGAUGGAGAUAAUUAGACCUACCUUCACAUAAUCGAGUACCCAAUAAUAGUCCUCAUUGAUGAUACCCGUCUAUUUGGAAGACAUUAUCUGAUCCCCUCUCAUCGAAGAGGUGGCUAGAUUAAUGAGGCACGUCUCUAAUGAGUUUUCUGUAGAGAUGUGUCCACAUGAGUGAUGAGAUCAGUGACAUAUGUUUGACUGUUCUAGAGUAGCCACAAGGGUCGUUACUCAUAAUUACUCUAUUGGACAUUUAAAAGUUGUACAUGAAGAACCAACGAGUACUCUAACAACUUAAUAAUAAGUGUCAUUUUUGCUCCAUGGUUUUGAAUAUCCUCCACAUGUCAUAUAUACUUGCAUGUCUUAUUAGUAUCUGAAAGUUUUCUACAAGAUCAAUUACACACCUACGAUGGACACUGGGACUUGGAAUGAACGAAAGAAAUGUAAUAUGGUUUUGUUUGCCAUUGUUGCUGCAGAAUAAUCAGGUAUCAUGUGUAUUUGCUCUCGAAGCACUGCAAGUAUUUUGCUAGGUGAAAUAUAUUUUGAAGUAGGCAGCAUGUAUCAACAUAAUUAAAUGCAGUGCACUAGUGUAGUAUUGCAAUCAUAUCAUCUUUUCACCUACUAAAAUUUCCAUAGAUUCCCUCUAGCUUCCAUUAUAUAUAUUAGUCAUCCUUACCUGGAGCAAUGCGUAAUAGCAGGGAUAGAGAGAAGUUUGUGUAGCAGGAGAAGAAUUCAUCUUAUGUAGGUAAGGAAGUCACUAGAAAAUUGUAUACCAUGCAGGCUUUUAGUUUCAUGAUUUCCACUGAUAUACAUCUUGCUAGAUGUUUCUGCAUUUUUGGCAAGCGCAGCAUGAUCGAUCAUAGUGGGUGAGAAGAACUGGCCCGUGAGAUAGGCAAUGGAACCAAGCAUAUCUGAUUCUAUGUUGUUAUCCAGAAAGCAGGCUAGAAGAGGAUCAGUGGCAUACACUAUGUCAAAGGCCCUAAUUACAGAACUCUUGUAACUCUCACCUUAUAUAAGAGAUCCAUCUGUGACUGAAAUCAUUAUAGAUGUGUGUUCACCGAAUCAGUUUGCUGAUGAUAGUUCUCAAAGAUGCAGGUACCCACACACAAGUUUUUAGCCCACGUCACUAGUGAGGGUGGUUUAGAGAGUGUUUUACAAGGCUAUCACCCUCAACCACAUACAUGCAUCAUCUCUAAUAUAAUGUUAUGCAAGCAUUUGGUAGACAUUGUGUGAACCCCUCUCACUAGAGAGGCAACUAGAUUGAUGAGACACAUCUUGAAUUGUCUUUAGAGACAUGUCCACAUGAGCGGUGAUAUCAAAGUUUUGUUUGGUUAAAUCCGCAUCUCUAUAGUUAACAUUAGUAACAUGUUUUUAGUGUCUGUGAUAUAUGGGUCUUCUUUAUGCUACCUUUGCAUAAUGAUAGUCUUCAUUGUUUGAGAUCUGCCAAGCAUGCACAACCCUAGUACAAAACUUUUAGCCAACUCCAAGCUAUUGAGAGUGGUGAUGGUUUUAUUGUUAGUCCUUGUGGUACAUAUAUAUUUAUGAUAGCAAAUUGUCUAAUAGCCUUUGGACAUUUUUUGGUUUCUACAUUAACUUCUUUUAAACUCAGCGGGGUAGGAAAGUACCACAUCUAUAAUUGUGAUGCAUACUUCCAAAUUGUAAGGAC
rnacentral:lncRNA from 1 species